AAAAAAAUUGAUUACCUUGUUUGAAUAUAAUAGAAUGAUGAUGGAACAUUCUUUGGUCUCAGUUGUCUCUCUAGAGAUGCGUGGACAAGACUGUCUUAGUUUUUGAGUUGUACUAUCAUAGAUCUUCAUAGAUCCAGAAGAGAAGUUUUUGAACUGCUCUUGGUUUCUUUAAAGCAGCGUUUUCAGAAGAAUACAAGGCAAAUUCAGAAGUUCCAUUGUCGGUGUCAUAAGUGUAGUUUUUGGGCAGAUUUGUGGAGUUUUGUAGUUAUAUUGAUUGGUACGGUUUUGUGUGAUGGUUGGUUCGGUUGUUAAAUGUAAUUUUGGCGUGAAUUCCAUGAGUUUGUAAUUGAUAGCGUAAUUUCGUCAGGGGUGGAAGUGCUUGAUUAUUUUCAACAGACACUAGUACUAGUUUUUCUAAUAUUUUAUGAACCGUCAAAUUCUCUAGUGUUUGGUUCACAAUAAGCAGAGCAUCAUAUAGCAUAAAAUUGUGUUCGGCUAAUGUUGUUUUUUUUUACUGUAUAAAAAUGUACCAAAGGGAGCGGGAACCAGAGAAAUUAGAACACCAAUCUCAGUUAUAAAAAAGCCCCCCAAAGGAAUUGGAUGAAUUUUAUAUUUGCCUCUAGAACAAAGCCAACAAGAAAGGAUCAUUGGAUCUAAACCUUGUAGCUGAAAGAGGAGGCAAUUACAAUAAAUUAUGCAUUUAUUAAUUCUUUUAAUGUCAAUUAUCUUUUUGUUAUGACAUAAAGCUACAAAAAAAAAUUCAAAAAUAAAAUAAAAUCCACACCCAAAUGAAGCACAGUAUAUAUGUGUAAUUGGAGCAAAUGAUAUACCAAAGAGGAGGAGAACCCAGAGGAUUAAG
rnacentral:lncRNA from 1 species